CCGCACGAGCGCACCCUUGCCCUAUGUUGCCAGCGGAUCAUGCCGGGGACUCAUGGGGGACUGCCGGUGAUAAACCGGAGGAAGGUGGGGACGACGUCAAGUCAUCAUGGCCCUUACGCCCAGGGCUACACACGUGCUACAAUGGCCGGCACAAAGGGCUGCCAACCUUCGAAGGUGAGCGAAUCCCAAAAAGCCGGUCUAAGUUCGGAUUGUAGUCUGCAACUCGACUGCAUGAAGUCGGAAUCGCUAGUAAUCGUGUAUCAGCAACGACACGGUGAAUACGUUCCCGGGCCUUGUACACACCGCCCGUCAAGCCAUGGAAGCUGGGAGUGCCCGAAGUCUGUGACCCAACCUAGUGAGGGAGCAGCCGAAGGUAAGUUCGGUGACUGGGGCUAAGUCGUAACAAGGUAGCCGUAGGGGAACCUGCGGCUGGAUCACCUCCUUU
rnacentral:rRNA from 1 species